AAGAUCAAAAAGAUGAUCUGAUCGCUGAACUGUGAAAAGUGUCUGUAGGCCUAAAGCUCAGUUACCAAAUAAGUGGCCUGGCUUGAGUGAGUCAGGUUCAUACUAUGCCUUCCAAAUUUUGUUUAUCAAGACCUUGGAAUUGUAUUUUUCCGUUGGAGGGGUAUUGAUAUGCAGUCAGUUUUAAUAGAAUACUACUAAGUCUAAGAUAAGAUUUUUUUUUCAUUCAUUUUUUCAAUUAUAUAUUUCCUCUGAGGUAUUUACAAAGAGGGGAGGGAGCAAAGAGAAAUCAAUCUAAUAUUCAACAACAUUUUCUGAUGUGGCAAAGAAAGAAAGCUGAACAAGUUAUUAGCUGUUAACUUAUGAGAGCAUAAACUUGUUGAUACAGCUGUUGUCUUUAUUUACAAAUAGACUUAUCCUGUUCUCAUUGAGAUCAGCAAAUGGCAAAUACUUUUCCUGUGGCUUACUAGCCUAUACUCAUGUGGUGUGAUUUGAAGUUAAUUUCACUUAAUUAGUUUCAUGUAAUGAAUGAUUUUAAUGUGUACUUAAAAAGUACUAAAUAUUUUUAUUAAAUUGGCACAUACAAGUCACAAGCAUUUUGUGGGUAACUAUCUACAAUAUUUGACUCAGGAAGGUUUCCAUUUAGUUACUGAAACAGAAAAGAAAAGGUCCUGUAAAUUUAAAGGCUAGAAGUAGGAUUAGCGGUUAUGGUUCUAACUGGAUUAGAAAUGUGGUAUUGUUGGCAUUUCUGAACUGCUUAAAAGGUUCAAGUGUAUUUCUUGGUGAAGCAACUAAAAAAGAAAGGUGUUUGGUAGGUUCUUAUGGUGUACAAAAUGGUUAACGAUUAUGGUCUAAUAGGUAGAAUGUGAAAGAAGGGCUGCUGUUGUGGGGCCUGUGAACAGACUCCAAUUGGGCUGUUUAGAGGAUUUUGGGUGGUAAUUAAAUUUUGAUGGUAUAGGAUUUCAAAGGUAGGAUUUUCAUGAUCUGACGGGGCUUUAGCUUUAUAGUUGGUUACAUGAGUGCAAUAAUUUAAAAGCAAAUAAAAUGGACAGGAGAUUGUUAUAGAAGGAAGCAAAUCAGGGAAGAAGGUAAUAAAUCAGAGAUUUUUUUUUCUGUAAUUUUUGCUUUGUUUUGUUCUUCUUUUUCUUUCAACAGAUUCUUUUGAAUUAGGUUAUACUGGCAACUCAGUCAACUGACCCUAGGAUAGGUGGUAAAUUGGAGGAUAUAGUUGAGGUCAUAUUUUUGGAGUAUUCUAGAGCCUGAGAGAAAUUGACAGUAGAGUUCUAACUUUGAUGAGAGACAUAGCGACUUACAUGCAGGAGACUGGAAAUCAUCCCAUGGACUCAAUAUUUAUGCAUUUGGUUUCUUUGGUGCCCAUAGCUUGUUUUUUUAUCCACUUGUAGAAUGCAUUACUUACACUUCUUUUGUGCAACUUUCCUUUGCUGAUAUGAAAGGGAAAGGCAAUGUUAUGUAGGCAGGUUAAGCAACCAGUCUAUUAAUGCUUUUUAUGGUGGAAUCAAGCAAUUGAAUAGAUAUAGUAUCAAGAUUUAAAGAAGGGAGAUUAGAGUUAAAGAGUUUGAAUUAGAUCAAGAAAGGAAGAGAAAUCAGUUUUUGAAGUUGUGAACAGUACUCAAGUUACUAUAGUAGCAGCAGUGGAAAAGAAAGAGGGUACGAAAAACUAGGCAUAUGGGUUUUCUAAACUAAAAUACUCAAAAUUAUUUAAAAAAAAAAGUUUAACCACACUCACAUGAAUUAUGACAUUUUGUCAUUUAUGUUGGAAGCCACAUUUGUGAAAGCAAUUUCCCUUGUGGACAGGUUGGCAGCAGGUUUGGAGAGAGCACCCUAAAGUUGGGAUCCAUAUUAACUGAUGGGCAAGUAGGGAUAUUCAAAGAUCGAUCAGCAGCUGCCAUGUCAACAUUUGGUGAUAUUUUACCUGCCCAAGCUGCGGGUCUUCUUUCAUCCUUUACAGCUACCAGAUCAGACUCUUGAUUUCCACUGAAUUCUUCUGUCCUCUUCUUUUCUUUAAUUAAUUAGUUGCACACUUUGUUCCAGUGAAGAGCACUAAGAAAUUCCCCAAAUAUAGGGAGGUUAUGAUACCGAAAGUUCGUACUUCACCCAAGUGGAAGGGUUAUAAAUAUAGUAUGUAGACAGCCAGUGAGAAGAUUCCAAGGCAAAGUGAGCAGGGGGGAUUGCAACUGUUAGAGAAAUGGUUAUACCUCAAGAUAAAUGGAAAAAAGGAAUUUUUAAAGGGAACAAAUGGGAAUCAAAAGAAGCAAUUACAUUUCUCAAUCUAUAUUCUAUAGAGAGGCAUGAAAGUAGUGUAGUAUCAGUAUGUGAGGUUUGUAUCUUGGAGUUCUCAUGUAUAUAGAAACCGUUGCCUUAAAAGCUAGUUGGAGUGAAGUUUUAUGUAGUCUGAGGUUCUGAUGCUGGAUCUGAAUAUUUAGAAGAUGUUUUUUCUUGGUUCUCACUUCUCAGUUGUGAGAAUUUCUUUCCAGAGAAGGUGGUUCACAUGGAAUGGAGUGAUGGCAUUGGCUUUUUGCAAAAAGAUGUUUGUGCAAGUUGCAUAUGAUCUAGAUUCUGCAGCCACAAGAGACUUUUCUUUCACUUACUGGAUUUAUCUUUAAGGAAAAGCUUGGAAUUACCUUUUGCUUGGUGGAUAUGAUGCAGCAGUUUUAACUUCCACUGUUGUCAUAGCCUAUCUACCUACCUGCAUUAUGGUACCAUAAUGCAUAUAAAAAGGCUACAUAAUGCAUAUAAAAAGGCUUUUUGAUGAGUUAAAGCCGUCUGUUUGACAUUGAAAAUGUAUAUUGACUCUAGAUAAAUGAUAUCCUUAGGGCUUCUCCUUUUAAGUUUUUAUUUUUUUUCAUUUUUUUUAUUACAAUCCAAUUUCUGUUACCGUUAGAUCAAGUAUACGUCCUGUAUUAUUAUUGUUCUUCAUAUUUGUCUUCGGAAUAAUCACUUUCUGCAAUACAAAGAGAACAAAAAAGAGGGACUGUUAGUUGUGUUAAACCCAGCUCAAUUGGGAGAAUGCUGCCUGAACGCUUGCUGUUACAAGUUACAAUGAUUGUAAUUAUGUUUCAUGGAAGCCAUUAUUCUAUAUUUCCUU
rnacentral:misc_RNA from 1 species